CUAUCCUCGCGCGCGGAUGGUCCUGCCCCGCAACUCGCGCGGGCAGGCUAAGAGGGAAUGCGAAGGGCCGACUUAAACCAAGGGCCCGUAUCGCAGCCGACCCCGCGACUGUAGAACGGCGAGGUGCCUCCGCCGGCAGGGUUCUGCCGGAAACGCCACUGGACGUGAUCGUCCGGGAAGGCAGGAGGACGACCGGUGACCCGUGAGCCAGGAGACCUGCCAUCCGUUUCGAGGCGGC
rnacentral:ncRNA from 2 species